rnacentral:rRNA from 1 species
CCUAGGGGAGGCCAGCCAGUGGGGAAUAUUGCACAAUGGGGGAAACCCUGAUGCAGCCAUGCCGCGUGUGUGAAGAAGGCCUUCGGGUUGUAAAGCACUUUCAUCGGGGAGGAAGUCAACCAUAGGAUUCAAUAACCUUGUCGAUUGACGUUACCCGCAGAAGAAGCACCGGCUAACUCCGUGCCAGCAGCCGCGGUAAU